rnacentral:lncRNA from 1 species
CUUUCUUUACCAUAUGCUCAUUGAACCUUCAAAACAAUAUAAGUGGUCGACCUAUCAAGAAUAACCGCUUCAACUGACCAGAAAGAGAAAUUGAAGCUAGCAGAAAAACAGAUGAUAGACAUCCAAGAAAGAAACUUAUAUGUACAGCCAUGUCAAUUGUUGCUUCAGAAGGCCAGUAUUUUUCUGGAACUUCUUUCACCGCAACCCCAAUGCUUUUUCACACAACUGCACGGCAAUGUACUUGGGUCAAAAGCAAGCCCAAUAGAGUGCAAUGAACAUGAUCUUGGAUUAAAUUUCAUCCUAAAACCUGAACACGCAUGUUGAAUGUACCAAGUUGACAGUACGUCGCCAACUGGCCAUUUAAUAGGUAAAAAACAAAUUAGGUGAACACUCACACUUAUCUUACUACUUUAUAUUUCAUCCCGACAAUUAAUAAAAUCAAGCAUCGUCACUUUUAUUGCCUCUUGCAGCAGGUUCAUUCAUCAGAAUGUUACACACUGUAUUUGAGUCUUAUUUACUUAUUAAGAAACUGUUCUCUUAUCAAAUUCUACAAUUCUUUUGGUGAUGUGAAUUUCCAGGCCCCCACUGACUGUAACUACAACAGAACACAAUUUUCUCUUAGAGAAGAAGCAUAAAGAAACAAUCAUAGUUCAACAAAAAUCUGCGAAGCUACUAAAGAUCUGCAUACUCUGCUUCGGCCAUUUUAAUAGCAGGUAAAACUUUAGUUGUCAGGAGACCUUCAUAGUGAGUCUUCUCCAGGUUCACAUAUUCAUUGGAAGAAACUACCAUCAGUAUAUACAUGCUACAGAAGAUUGAGAGAUCACUAUUUGGAAGUACUUAUAACUAACUGGUGGCCUUGGAUGGAACGAAGAAAAUCUGGAUUUGAUUUAGCUUAUGCUACAUUAUGACCAGGUUUGUAAUCACCUGGGAGGAUUGAUCUUAGAAAAAUCUCACACCAUAUAUGUUGCUAUAGAGGCUAGUGUUGUCCAGUAGAACUGUAGUUAUCAGAAUGUACCUCAAUAGCACAUCAGUGACAUCUUAGGCAUCUACUAUGUGCUAGAAUUCGUUGUUUCCCAUUUCUCUCAGCCUCCUACUUCAGCCCAUCUACUGCGAUGUCCCCCUCCUGCGGGCAUCAACAAUCCUGUUGGUGGACUGUAAGCAGAAGAAAAAGAUUGAAACAGCUGAUCAUAUGCAAACCAAGAAGAAACAGAAUCGAAAGAAAAUUCGGGACAACGUUGUACUGAUCAGCGCAACCAUCACCUCAUAAUUGAAUUUUUGCUUGUUGUCUUCCAUAUCUAUCAUACUGUAUAUGAUAUCCCACUCCUACAAAGCUCACACCACUAUGAACUGAGAUAGUCGUACACCCAUAAGAUUUUUGCACACUAUCUUUCAAGAAACAGCAAGGCCACAAUAAUUGAUCAUGCUCAUGUCCAAACCCAGCAACUCUUCUAUUAUGCAUCAAGAUGAUUUAUAUCAACUACAAAUAUUCGCUUGUCCAUUUCAUCAGAGAGGUUAUAAGCAUAAUGCCAUUGGAAAAAAAAGAUAAGAAUGGACAGCAUACCUUUGUUAUGGUGAUGAGAGCUAAUUUUAUAGGAAAUGCACCCAGGAGACACAAGCCUCAGUCUAUAUAUGUACCUGUCAUGGCAAUAAUGUGAAGAGAAAUGAAGUUGAAUAUAACAGACCAAAUACCCAAUUGAGUAUCAAAAUAACAUAAAUUGUAAAGUAGUGGGAUGAAAAUACCAACCUGUAUUUCUUCAGUAUAGGCAACCAGUUCUAGAGCUAAUGGUACAUUUUAAGCUCGAACGUACAUACACAGCACACCUAAUUUGACUAAGUUCAACUGAUGCCGCAAAACCAGCUCCUUCA